GAUGAACGCUGACAGAAUGCUUAACACAUGCAAGUCGAUGGGGAAGUGGUGCUUGCACCAUGGCAACCAUGGCGGACGGGUGAGUAACGCGUAGGGGACUUACCUGCAGGACUGGGAUAACAGGGGGAAACUCCUGACAAGACCGGAUAAUGUCAUGGAGCUGCAUGGCUUUAUGAUGAAAGGAGACGCCUGCGGAGAGCCUUGCGUCCUAUUAGCUAGUUGGUGAGGUAAUGGCUCACCAAGGCGAAGAUAGGUAGCCGGCCUGAGAGGGUGGACGGCCACAAGGGGACUGAGAUACGGCCCUUACUCCUACGGGAGGCAGCAGUGGGGAAUAUUGGACAAUGGGGGCAACCCUGAUCCAGCAAUUCUGUGUGCACGAAGAAGGUUUUCGGAUUGUAAAGUGCUUUCAGCAGGGAAGAAGUAAGUGACGGUACCUGCAGAAGAAGCGACGGCUAAAUACGUG
rnacentral:rRNA from 1 species